AAAAAAUCGUUGAUUGGAAGAGUAGAUGACAUAGAUUAAUUUAGGGAGAAUUUGCCAUAGACUGAAAGCAAAUUUAUUAAGAUUGUUAUUGAAGUUCACCCAUGAGAGGUUCUAAAAAAACCCGUGUUUCUAGCGUUAAUGGAUUAAUGAGGAGAAAUGUUUCAUUUCUUAAAUUAAGGUGGUACCACGAUUACUUCGUCCUUUUA
rnacentral:ncRNA from 1 species